rnacentral:lncRNA from 1 species
CUCAACCAGAUAUUCCUGUCACUAAACCAACCUCUCCCACAAAACAAUCCUCUCCACAUCCUGAACCAACUCCUGAACAUAAAUCACCUGAACCAUCUCCUGAACAUAUUUACCCUGAAUCAACUUCUGACAUUUCAUCAUCUGAACCAACCCCUGAACCCCAUCCUAACCCAAGUACUGAACAUGUUUCUCCUGAGCGUAUUCACACUUGUGCUCCCAAGCCCUCAG